GGCUGAAAUUCGCCUUCAUGAAGCUGGAAUUGCUAGUAAUGGCAGGUCAGCAUACUGCCGUGAAUACGUUCCCGGGCCUUGUACACACCGCCCGUCACACCAUGAGAGUUGGGAAUACCCGAAGCCUGUGAGCUCACUUAUAGAGGCAGCAGUCGAAGGUAGAAUCAAUGAUUGGGGUGAAGUCGUAACAAGGUAAC
rnacentral:rRNA from 1 species